GACGAACGCUGGCGGCGUGCUUAACACAUGCAAGUCGAGCGGUAAGGCCCUUUCGGGGGUACACGAGCGGCGAACGGGUGAGUAACACGUGGGUGACCUGCCCUUAGCUCUGGGAUAAGCCUGGGAAACUGGGUCUAAAUACCGGAUAUGACUCCAUGACGCAUGUUGUGGGGUGGAAAGCCUUGUGCGGCUAGGGAUGGGCCCGCGGCCUAUCAGCUUGUUGGUGGGGUGAUGGCCUACCAAGGCGACGACGGGUAGCCGGCCUGAGAGGGCGACCGGCCACACUGGGACUGAGACACGGCCCAGACUCCUACGGGAGGCAGCAGUGGGGAAUCUUGCGCAAUGGGCGAAAGCCUGACGCAGCGACGCCGCGUGAGGGAUGACGGCCUGG
rnacentral:rRNA from 1 species